rnacentral:rRNA from 1 species
AUUGAACGCUGGCGGCAGGCCUAACACAUGCAAGUCGAGCGGAUGAAGGGAGCUUGCUCCUGGAUUCAGCGGCGGACGGGUGAGUAAUGCCUAGGAAUCUGCCUGGUAGUGGGGGAUAACGUCCGGAAACGGGCGCUAAUACCGCAUACGUCCUGAGGGAGAAAGUGGGGGAUCUUCGGACCUCACGCUAUCAGAUGAGCCUAGGUCGGAUUAGCUAGUUGGUGGGGUAAAGGCCUACCAAGGCGACGAUCCGUAACUGGUCUGAGAGGAUGAUCAGCCACACUGGAACUGGGCAACGGUCCGAACUCCUACGGGGGGCAGCAGUGGGGAAUAUUGGACAAUGGGCGAAAGCCUGAUCCAGCCAUGCCGCGUGUGUGAAGAAGGUCUUCGGAUUGUAAAGCACUUUAAGUUGGGAGGAAGGGCAGUAAGUUAAUACCUUGCUGUUUUGACGUUACCAAAAGAAUAAGCACCGGCUAACUUCGUG